AGUGAACGCUGGCGGUAGGCCUAACACAUGCAAGUCGAACGGCAGCACAGUAAGAGCUUGCUCUUACGGGUGGCGAGUGGCGGACGGGUGAGGAAUACAUCGGAAUCUACUUUUUCGUGGGGGAUAACGUAGGGAAACUUACGCUAAUACCGCAUACGACCUACGGGUGAAAGCAGGGGAUCUUCGGACCUUGCGCGAUUGAAUGAGCCGAUGUCGGAUUAGCUAGUUGGCGGGGUAAAGGCCCACCAAGGCGACGAUCCGUAGCUGGUCUGAGAGGAUGAUCAGCCACACUGGAAGUGAGACACGGUCCAGACUCCUACGGGAGGCAGCAGAGGGGAAUAUUGGACAAUGGGCGCAAGCCUGAUCCAGCCAUACCGCGUGGGUGAAGAAGGCCUUCGGGUUGUAAAGCCCUUUUGUUGGGAAAGAAAAGCAGCAGGUUAAUACCCCGCUGUUCUGACGGUACCCAAAGAAUAAGCACCGGCUAACUUCGUG
rnacentral:rRNA from 1 species